CACAGAUAAGUGAGAAAAAUAUGCUGAGUUGUACUAAUGAAAAGGCAAUAUCUAUUAGUCCUUACAUGAGGCUUCAGAGAAGUCAUCUCUUGCCAUCACUUCUGAUCAUUCAGUUGUUCGGACACUUUACCAGAACAUGCAAGAAACACAGUAGUGGAGAGCUACAACCUGCCCAUCGGGAAUUUUCUUCUUCCCUUUGUCAGUUAGAGAAUGGCUUAUUCCCUGAACUCUGAUAGUUUAUAUCCUUUAUAAUUUUCAUUGUCCUGUCUAAAAUAACUGGAGGUCAGUCAUCUCAUUGUCCACAUAGAAGAUGACGAAUGUAUCUAUGCUCUUUACCUCAUUUUGGUCUAAUGACAAAGAUCAUGGACAGGCUGUCAUAUAACUUCCCUGGUGAAGUAACCAUGAUACUAAUUAAGACAAAAGUGGCCAGAUUAUGUCUCUCAUAAGCAUUUUUUUUUCUGAUUUAAAAACAUAAUGCAAAACAUAAUGCAAAAAAGCAGCAAUCAAACCCUGUAUUUGUCUGGUGGCUCACAAAACAAGAGUUUUGUGUGUGAAACCAUCAAACUGGGGCUAGGGUUGGGACUUUGGAAGGGGAGAAGAGGGAGCAAAAGAGAGGAAUGAAACAGCUGAAUGAGUACACUGAGAAACAUAUGAGCUAUACUUGCACAUUUACCAAUGUUCCAAAGAUUUUCUAGGUGCAUUUUGGAUAUGUAGCUGCUCUCUUGAACUUUAUUUACAUAGCCAUCUGGACAUCUGCAACAUAUCUGCAGGAGCCAUUUUGUACUGUCAGGUAAAUUAUACCCCACUGAAAAGUUUAUAAAUGCCAGAAACCAUUUCAGAGGAGCUCUAUCAGUCUAACGGAUAGAUAACAAGCUGUUUAAAAAACUGUCUAUAUGUAUAUGCCCAAGA